rnacentral:rRNA from 1 species
GGCGAACGGCUGAGUAACACGUGGGCAACCUGCCCUUUGCACUGGGAUAGCCUCGGGAAACCGAGGUUAAUACCGGAUACUCCAUAUUUGUCGCAUGGCGAAUAUGGGAAAAGCUCCGGCGGCAAAGGAUGGGCCGCGGCCUGUUAGCUAGUUGGUGGGGUAGUGGCCUACCAAGGCAAUGAUGGGUAGCCGGGUUGAGAGACCGACCGGCCAGAUUGGGACUGAGACACGGCCCAGACUCCUACGGGAGGCAGCAGA